rnacentral:rRNA from 1 species
AUUGAACGCUGGCGGCAGGCCUAACACAUGCAAGUCGAACGGUAACAGGAAGAAGCUUGCUUCUUUGCUGACGAGUGGCGGACGGGUGAGUCAUGUCUGGGAAACUGCCUGAUGGAGGGGGAUAACUACUGGAAACGGUAGCUAAUACCGCAUAACUUCGCAAGCCCAAAGAGGGGGACCUUCGGGCCUCUUUCCAUCGGAUGUGCCCAGAUGGGAUUAGCUUGUUGGUGGGGUAACGGCUCACCAAGGCGACGAUCCCUAGCUGGUCUGAGAGGAGGAGAGGCCACACUGGAACUGAGACACGGUCCAGACUCCUACGGGAGGCAGCAGUGGGGAAUAUUGCACAAUGGGCGCAAGCCUGAUGCAGCCAUGCCGCGUGUAUGAAGAAGGCCUUCGGGUUGUAAAGUACUUUCAGCGGGGAGGAAGGGAGUAAAGUUAAUACCUUUGCUCAUUGACGUUACCCGCAGAAGAAGCACCGGCUAACUCCGUG